AAGUAAUUUUUUGUUUACUUAAAAUGCCAACCUUUGUAAAUAGGAAUUUAUUUUGAGUAAACAUUGAGUGAGAUAUAAAGCCAGUGAAUACAUCCAUGCCACUCAAUUUCAGCCACUCAGAAUGAUUGGAAGAAUUGCAGAACUGAGUUUCACUCUCGCUUGACUGAUGCAGAUUCAGAAACCUAAUUGCUCAUGAUGGUUUCUGAGAAAAAAUCAGCUUGGUGUAAUUUGACAGUAUUUUUCAGUAUUUGACAGUGGUUCUAUCAUGCAACAGUCAUACUAUGAAGUGUCUCACAGAAUUCCUGCAAUAUCCAAGAUUACAGUGUAGAGCAAAGAGGAUUAAUCUUUGCAAUUAGAAGUAACUGCACUUCCAAAUACAGCACGAACAGUUCCUUCGUUUUUGAGUGAUUAAAGAGUGAAAAUAUUUCCAUUUUAAAUGUUGUCUUUUUAUGUGUAAAACUUCACAUGUAAUGCAUGUUUACAAAUACAUAUAUGGACAUUUUGAUUCCAAUUCUAUAUGCACAUUUUGAUUCAAAUAAUUAACCACAAGUAUUUAAAAUUUGGUGUGAAGCAGAAAUGUUGUCCUUUUGAUUGUUUCUAAACAAUAAGUGGUAUUAUUCGUGUUUAUAGUUACCAUGUCAAUUUAAAAAAAAUUUUUUUUAAACAGUUGCCAUGGUAACCAUAGUCUAGUGUUCUUAGGAAACUGUCAUUGUUGUCUACAAAUCUUAGUAUUUUCAAUGUGAUACUUUUUGAACAUGUCGGCUUCAGUCAAUAAAAUGUUCCUGUUAUUUUCUAUGCAUUUGGUCAUACUGGGUAUACAAUUGUAUUUAUUAUUUAACCUUGAAAAUUGCUGACAAUGUCAUACUUAUAUUAAAAUAUUCAGAAUUGCUAGAUGGGUAUAAGUUCACUUUUUUACAAUUGUCAGGCAAAUCAAUGCAAGAUAUAGUUACAUAAUUCUCUUUUUUAACAAAAAGCGAGGUUUCCUAGCAUUUUUUUGUAUUUUUAUUGAAAGGUUACCAUGGAAACUAAUUUUUUGUUUGCCUUUAAUCUUCCUAUUUAUAAUUCUAUUAAUUGUAAAAGCGUAACAGUCCAUCAGUGAAUGGAAGAAUUUAAAUGUUCUUUGACUUUUACCUUAUUGCUAGCUCAUUCUUCAAAAUAUACGGCAUUUUUAAAAUUUCUUAAAAAUAAACAUUUUUUCUUCAUUUUUUGAACGUGAAUAUAAGUAUCUAUCAUGUGUUUCCAGUACGGAUAGAAAAAAAUCCAACCCAAAGGCACGCACCUAAGCCAGUAAAGAGGCUUGCCGAGUUACCUGUCACGCAGCGUGCCCGAGGGUCGGAAUUUUCGAUCAGCACCGGAAAAACAUGAUCGAUAUAAUUAUUUUCUUGCAUACCUAAAAUUAUGAAUUUGUGGAAAAAUUGACGUACAAAACGCACUAUUGUACAUUUUACCAAAAAGCGAGUGCGACGUUAUGUACUGACAUCAUAAAGCGCAGUAAUUUUAAAUCACUAUCGAGGUCAAAUAGUUCCUAUAAAAUUCACGCUUUUACGAUUAUUUAUUUUCAAUUUCAAUUAAAAGUAUUAUAAUCUUAUAUUUUUGAUUCCGCUUUAUUGAAAUUGCAAAAUAUACUUAUCAUAAACCAUACAAUAAAAGAAAAAAGAAGAGGCGCGUUGUUGCGCGUGACUCAUCUUACAUGGGGGGUGAAAGAUUAGUUUUUCCAGCACCGGUCACAUGACCGGAAACACACGUCUGGUAUGCAAUAAUUUGCUUAAACAUUGUUUAAGCUCUGAAAUUUAGAAAUGUGUAUUAAAUUUAUAGAAAAAAAAACAAAAUGUGUUGUUUUACAUUAUUUAUUUCAUUUAAAUUUCGAGGUUUUGAAUUUGACCUAUUUUGGCAGAAAAAUGGAUAAAAAUGUAAAAUUAAAAGGGCCAUAAUUCUGUCAAAAAUUGAUGGAUAUUUAAAAGAUAUGCAUAUUUGAGUUUGUAAUGACGUAACCUUUAAAAUGAUAUAUCACCUGACUAUACCGCAUGAAAUUAUUUUUUUAAGUUGUUUUUGCUACCAAGGGAAAAAGUUUGA